GAGCGCGUGCUUUGAAGUACAGCUGGCUGCAAUACUCAGCCAAUCUGAGCGCGCGACAAGUGGCGUCCAACCAAUAAGCGACAAGACCAUGACAGAAAUACUAAAGCUGCACGUCAAUCAAUGACUGGGGUACACUGAUCCCACCGUCAAGCAAUAAGCCAUCAGCUAUUUUCAACGUUUAAUAUAUAUAGGCUAUAUGGGCAUGAAGGCGCAGUAUCUUCAUAGACUGUAGUGCUCAGCACAUAUUGGUAUUUAAAAGUCAUCUGGCUGUGAAGUUUUUUGGUUGUAAUUAUUGGGGAUGUCAAAUACGUCCACAUUUCAAAUUAGAACCAGCCACCUAAAUCAAGACGUUACCUUGGAUGAAGAGGACGGAGGGGCACCACUAAAAUCACAACAGCUUGAGGUCAUGGCUGGAUUUGAACCACAGUCCUCCAAUUCUAAGUCCAACACCCUAUCAGGGUUUACGGCAUUACGUCUUCAUGGCAACGAAGUUGUAAAACUGGCUAUAACUUCACACAGAAAAGCCGGCUGACGGCUCAACAUGACACAAGCUCAACCUGUGACAUCGGCAGUUUGCAGCCUCCAUUUCACACAUGAUUAAUCUGAGAGAGAGAGAGAGAAAGAGGAAAGGGUGGCCCGUGUUCAAUCCGCACGGCUAAAAGGACUUUAGGAUUCCUGCGGAGAGAGCCGUGGGGAGAGUGAAUGGAACCGGUUGGGGGUCACUGAGUCUUUGUGUAAUUGAGGCAGUGGCAUGCUCUCUAUCCUCUCCUCCUUUCAAAUGGAGCGAGGGCUUGUGAAGUGUGGGGAAGGGUGAAGGAGGAAGAGAGGUUGGAGGAGGGGUCUUUUUUUGAAUGUUUUUAUGAAGGGGAGGUUAAGUUGACAUGAACAGAGAGAAUGCAUUCUGGGGGUUUUUCUGCAGUGCAGCGUCAUGUGCUACAUCUUUAUUGAAGCAAUAAGCCAUGAGAGGCCCUGCGUUAGAGUGGUUUUACCCCAGGUAAUCUGUGUUCUCAGGCCUGACACAGAGCUCAUAACUGUUAUGCACAACCUUGAUUUGCUUAUUGCUUUUAUGAAAAGUGCCAUGUGAUAAAUAUACCAAGAAAUAACUAAAUGAACAAUUAGAUCAUUAAAUGUAUUUUCGACAUUUUCACACAUUCUGAAAAAAAUGUGAAUGGUGCUUGUCCAUGCAAAACUAGGGAGUUGGGAUGGUUGGCAGGGCAUUGCUAGGGUGUUCUGGGUGGUCCUCAUUGGCCAAGUGAAAAGAGGCCAUGCACCCCCAAGUUGGGUCCCUCUUUUUAUUUUAGUCUAUGGCAGGGGUGUCAAACUCGGUUCCUGGAGUGCCACAGUCCAGCAGAGUUUAGCUCCAACCCUAAUUAAACACACCUGAAGCAGCUAAUCAAGGUCUUCAGGAGUGCUUGAAGAUUACAAGGAGGCAUUUUGGAGCAGGGCUGGAACUAAAGUCUGCAAGGCUGCGGCCCUCCAGGAACUGAGUUUGACACCCCUGGUCUAUGGGACUUUUUGCAGACAUGUUCACAAGUCCCUGAGGUCCAAGUCAAGUCUCAAGUCUUUGAGGUAGAGUACAAGUCAAGCCUCAAGUCUUUCAAGGCCAAGUCUAAACCAAGUCUCAGUUUUUUGGUCACGAGUCCAAGUCAAGUCUUUUUUUUUUGGCAAUAUUUCUUUAUCUGCAGCUGGGUAGUUUAAUAAAACCUGUAUAAGGCUCAUUAAAUUCUGAAAUAUUAAAACUGACAACUUUAAGGGAUUGCCAUGUUUAUUUAUAUAACUUGUCUACUUUAAUCAUGGAUUUUAUUUUUAUUCAGGAAACAAUGAAUAAACGAUCCUUUUUUUUUUUUCUUUUUUCUUUUUUCUUUUUGUACUAGUUUUGUCCAUAAAUCUUUAUGGUUUUAAAGCCCUUUAUUAUAUUUUGCAUUUGCCCAUAUGAAAAUGUACCAUAGUUUUUAUAGUUUAAACUGUGGUAUUUAUUUGUAACAACCAUGGAAACCUCUGGUAAAAUCAAGCAUGUAUCGUCACUACCAUGGUAAAAUGUAUGAUUUUUUAUAAAACAAACUUUGGCGUUUUUGAAAAAGAAAAACA